rnacentral:rRNA from 1 species
UAAUACGGGGGGUGCAAGCGUUAUUCGGAAUUACUGGGCGUAAAGAGCGCGUAGGCGGUCUUUUAAGUCAGGUGUGAAAGCCCGGGGCUCAACCCCGGAAGUGCACUUGAAACUAAGGGACUUGAGUAUGGGAGAGGGAAGUGGAAUUCCUGGUGUAGCGGUGAAAUGCGUAGAUAUCAGGAGGAACACCGGUGGCGAAGGCGACUUCCUGGACCAAUACUGACGCUGAGGCGCGAAGGCGUGGGGAGCAAACAGGAUUAGAUACCCUGGUAGUCCACGCAGUAAACGGUGAACACUAGGUGUAGCGGGUAUUGACCCCUGCUGUGCCGCAGCAAACGCAUUAAGUGUUCCGCCUGGGGAGUACGACCGCAAGGUUA